rnacentral:rRNA from 1 species
AACGAACGCUGGCGGCAGGCCUAACACAUGCAAGUCGAGCGAAGCCUUCGGGCUUAGCGGCGGACGGGUGAGUAACGCGUGGGAACGUGCCCUUUGCUACGGAAUAGCCCCGGGAAACUGGGAGUAAUACCGUAUGUGCCCUUCGGGGGAAAGAUUUAUCGGCAAAGGAUCGGCCCGCGUUGGAUUAGGUAGUUGGUGGGGUAAUGGCCUACCAAGCCGACGAUCCAUAGCUGGUUUGAGAGGAUGAUCAGCCACACUGGGACUGAGACACGGCCCAGACUCCUACGGGAGGCAGCAGUGGGGAAUCUUAGACAAUGGGGAAACCCUGAUCUAGCCAUGCCGCGUGAUCGAUGAAGGCCUUAGGGUUGUAAAGAUCUUUCAGUGGGGAAGAUAAUGACUGUACCCACAGAAGAAGCCCCGGCUAACUCCGUGCCAGCCGCCGCGAUAACAC